rnacentral:tmRNA from 1 species
CCACGAAGUCCGGUUCUAAAACUUAGUGGAUCGCCAAGGAAAGGCCUGUCAAUUGGCACAGUCCAAGGUUAAAACUUAAAAUUAAUUGACUACACAUGUAGAACUGUCUGUGGACGGCUUGCGGACGGGGGUUCAAUUCCCCCCGACUCCACCA